rnacentral:rRNA from 1 species
AUACGAAAGGUGCAAGCGUUGUUCGGAUUUACUGGGCGUAAAGAGAGUGUAGGUUGUUUAUUAAGUCGGAUGAGAAAUCCCGGGGCUCAACCUCGGAACUGCAUUCGAUACUGGUAGACUAGAGUUCGGGAGGGGUAAGCGGAAUUCCGUGUGUAGCAGUGAAAUGCGUAGAUAUACGGAGGAACACCUGAGGCGAAGGCGGCUUACUGGACCGAUACUGACACUGAGACUCGAAAGCGUGGGUAGCAAACAGGAUUAGAAACCCUAGUAGUCC